ACGUGCCUCUAGUCCCCACUAGACGACCACUGCUCUCCACCGUGCAUUCCUCUCCCCACCGCGCCGCCGGUCUCCACCCGCUCCCCACCGCGCCGUUGCUCUCCACCGCGCUGCCGGUCUCCAUCCACUCCCCCCCGUGCUAUCGCUGCCAUCGCUCCCAUCGUACGCUGCUCCACACUACGCGGUGAGCUCGCCCCUCCUCAAGCGUAGUUGCUCCCACUGCCUGCGCUUUGCACCUCCCCUGCAGCCAUCUAUUGGAACUAUCAGGAAGCUCCAGGGAACCUCCGCUGCAGCCUAUUGAGGUUAUGCAUGUGUGUGUCAUCAAUUAUCAAAUGGAUAAACAAGAUUCAGGCAAGAUGGAUCACCUUUGCAGAAGGUUGAUGUCAUCUUUGACAUAAUAACCUGAUAGCUGACAUCAGCUAGACUCCAGGAAAAAAAAUGGAAAACGCAAGAGAAAGGAGUAAAGAAAGGAGGAUCAAUGAAAGGAUAGAAGGACAGAGCAAGAAAAGCAUCCUUACUGAGUAUGAGAUACUUCGAAAUGGUUUAAUACAAGAAAACAAUAAGAAAUUGGAAGCUCUAAAUCUCCCGCCCAUGCGCAGCAGUAAGCAUGUUCAGCAGCAAACCAAGAAACUUGUCAAGGUAACUGAUGGCACAAACACUGUUCCAUGUGGAAAUCAUAACUUGCGGUCCAAGACAAGAAAGAACAGAGAGGAAAAUGAUGAAGAAGUUGGCAAUGAAGAUGAAUACCAAUCAAAACAAGAUGCCAUGAAUGCCAAUGAAGAUGACUAAAUGUGCUCAACUAUGUGUUUAUGACAUGUCCUAAGUAUUUGCAAUUGUUUUAUAUAUCCUAUUUCUUCACACAUGUAGAACAAGCACACGAGCUUUCACAAAUAAAAAAAAAGAAAGAUGGGAGGGGUAUCACUCAAAAUCUGAAUAUAAUUUCAAGGAAGGGUCAAGAUAAAAUUAGAAUAACUCUCAAUGAAUUUGGUCAGCCUGUUGGACUAGAUUCUGCUGAAUUUGCUAGUACACUUGGGACAUAUGUGAGGAAGAAAAUAUCUGUUGUAUGGUGAUUGGAGAGAUGUUAACAUCAAGGAGAAGCUACAAGUAUGGAAUGACAUACAGACACAUUAUGAUAUCGAUGAGGCUGGUAUGCAUUAUGUUCUGGAGAAAGCACAUAUGAUUUGGAAGGAUUAUAAGGCUGAUUUGAAGAAGAAAUAUUUUGAUGCAACUCUAACUGAUGAAGAACUUAUGGAUAGACGUGACUCUAGAGUUAAUGAGAUUCAAUGGGAGUGGCUUAUUGACCAUUGGAAAUCUCCUGAAGCUAUGGCUCGCUCCAUAAGAGGCAAGGAAAACCGAGGAAAACUACGUAUCUUACAUACAGCUGACAGCAAAAGCCAUGCUCGUGUUGGCCAUGACUUGGGUCUAAAGCUAGGGCAUCCUGCUAGAAGCGAUGAAGUCUGGGUUGAGACGCACAAACGUAAAAAUGGAGAAGUUAUUCCAGAAGCUGUGGAGACAUUUGAAUUGCUCAAAGAUAUUGCAGAGACUUAUCCAGAGUUGAAGGAGAAAACUAUCCAAGAGGGAGACUUGUAUGCACGCGUGUGUGGAAUGAAGGAACCAAGAGGUCGUGUCCGUGUGUUAGGAAAGGGACCGACUCCUCAGGAUCUAGGCACACCAGGACCAUGCACUAGAAUUCCAACAAGACUUCAGCUCGAAAUGGAAGCUCACCGUCAAACUAAGCAAGAACUUGUACGUUUAAAUCAACGUAUGGAUGACAUGCAGCAGCGUUUUAAUGCAAUGGAGCAGAUGGUUAUGUCUCAAGGUGUGCAGAAUAUAGAAACAAGUUUCCAGCAUGCAUUGAAUUCUCGACUUGCCGAGAGUCCAAGAAGUCAAGAAGGACUUGUUGACCCACCAUAAGGCACUUAGAUACACUAUCGGGCGAAAAUGACUCUAUUAUCCGUAGAAAGUUAUUAAUCUAAUGGUGUUUUCAAAGACCAUAGUGACAAGAAGACAAGAGCCCCCCAAUGUUGCAGAAGAAAAUCUAGUCGGUAGAGAUGUUAUCUUAUAUGCUGCCUUGAGAACCGAAAUACCUGUGGCUAAAGCGACAAUCGUAUCAAUUGAUCCAAACCACUUAGUGGGAGGACAACCCCUUGGUGUACAAUUCUAUGAAGUCGUGGUGAAUGUUGUGUUGAAAAGGGAUGCCUUGCUUCCUCGUCCAUAUGAUAGCAUGGAAAUUAUGGCCGAUGCUCAGUAUACAUCCAUUGCAUGGCCAAGCAAUAGACUGAAGGUUACCAAGAGUAGUAGUAAUAUCUCCAAAAGUGCAGGUGUUUAGUCUGAUUAUCCAAGCGCAGGCUGCGAAAGCAACCUUUGGUCGGGUGAUGCCUUAUGCAAAUUGAUGUUUGUGUUCACAGUAACUAGAAAAAUCUAGGGCAGUCUAGUUUGAGAAACCCUUAAACUUGUAUUUUGGUACUGAAAAUUGCUUGAGUCUGGUCACUUGUCAACUUGUGAUGUUUUGGAGAACUAUGCGAAUUUGGGAUGACUAAAAUAUGCACAUUUCUGUUGUGACCUUUAAUGUUAACCACAAUGUUCUCUCCAUAUGUAUGUGCUAAAUGAA